AAAAUGCGAUACUUGGUGUGAAUUGCAGAAUCCCGUGAACCAUCGAGUUUUUGAACGCAAGUUGCGCCCGAAGCCAUCCGGCUGAGGGCACGCCUGCCUGGGCGUCACGCAUCGCGUCGCUCCCCACCUUACCUCCCCAACGGGUUGGCAUGGUGUUGGGGGCGGAUAAUGGCCUCCCGUGCUUGUGUUUCGGUUGGCCUAAAUAAGAGUUCCCUUCGGCGGACACACGACUAGUGGUGGUUGAAUAGACCCUCGUCUUUUGUUGCGUGUCGUGAGCUGUAAGGGUAGCCCUCAUCAAAGACCCCAUUGUAUCGUCUUCGGAUGAUGCUUCGACCGCGACCCCAGGUCAGGCGGGACUACCCGCUGAGUUUAAGC
rnacentral:misc_RNA from 1 species